rnacentral:rRNA from 1 species
GUCUACGGCCAUGCCACCCUGAACGUGCCCGAUCUCAUCUGAUCUCGGAAGCCAAGCAGGGUCAGGCCUGGUGAGUACUUGGAUGGGAGACCACCUAGGAAGACCAGGUGCUGUAGGUG